UACAGAGGUCUCAAGCGUUGUUCGGAUUCAUUGGGCGUAAAGGGUGCGUAGGCGGCGCGGUAAGUCGGGGUGUGAAAUCUCGGAGCUUAACUCCGAAACUGCAUUCGAUACUGCCGUGCUUGAGGACUGGAGAGGAGACUGGAAUUUACGGUGUAGCGGUGAAAUGCGUAGAUAUCGUAAGGAAGACCAGUGGCGAAGGCGGGUCUCCUGGACAGUUCCUGACGCUGAGGCACGAAGGUCAGGGGAGCAAACGGG
rnacentral:rRNA from 1 species